rnacentral:rRNA from 1 species
UACCCCUACGGGACGCAGCAGUGGGGAAUCUUGCACAAUGGGCGAAAGCCUGAUGCAGCAACGCCGCGUGAGCGAAGAAGGCCUUUGGGUCGUAAAGCUCUGUCCUAAGGGAAGAAGGAAGUGACGGUACCUUAGGAGGAAGCCCCGGCUAACUACGUGCCAGCAGCCGCGGUAAUACGUAGGUGGCGAGCGUUAUCCGGAAUGAUUGGGCGUAAAGGGUGCGUAGGCGGCCUGCUAAGUCUGGAGUGAAAGGUACCGGCUCAACCGGUACAGGCUCUGGAAACUGGCGGGCUAGAG